rnacentral:lncRNA from 7 species
CAAUCUGGCAAAGGUGAUUGUUUUCUCUUCCUUAGUCUGGAAAUCUACUUGUAACCAGUGUUACCUGUAUAUACAAGUUCCAAUUUUUGUUUGCUGGCUUAAACAACCGCACCUCAGAUUAUUGUGCAUGGGAGAAUUUAAGUGGAUAACUGACAUCAAAUUCGCGGGCCUUUAAGAUUUGGCACUCAUAUCACAAUGCCAUGUGGGGUCAAUGAGUCAUUGACAUGUGGGUUAGGAUCUUGAAAGGCUCAUGAAUUGGAUGCCAUUUUUUUAGAAAAAUCUCUCAUGCUAGAUUAUGACACUUUUUUUCAGGUUCAAAAUCUUAUUUGGCAUAUGCCAAUUCUGAAACUUGUCUAAUUCCAAGCCACAUUUGAGGUGUGUUUCUGAGGGCAUGUACAGCGGAAGGAUGCUUAAGAGCCUGUUUAUUUCAACUUAUAAUCUGCCCAAAUUAUAUAAUCCAACUCAAAUAAUCUAGAUACAAAACAAACAGGCAGAUUAUUAGGCCAUAUUAUAUAAUCUCAAAAGGUCAGAUUAUCGUAAUCCUAUAAACUGCUCAACAGAUGCUUAUUUCAUACUAUUUAGUAAAAAGACCCACUACAUAUGGCAACUUCAGGAGAAAUUAUCCACCACUGUCACUCCUUAC